UAUCUAAUGUGUUUCAUAUUACUAUUUUUUUUUUGAGAGAUAGGUAGCACGCUACCCGCUUCGUUUACUUCAUUUAGAAAUAAACUUAGCUGGAAAUGUGAAUCAACUAAGAUUCGAACUUGGGCCUCGGGUACCAACCACCAAGUCCUUUGCCACUAGCUUUAGGGACGAUCGGUAAUGUGUUUCAUAUUACUGUAACAAAGAUGUUUAGGAUGAGUAUUAAGUGAGAGUAAACUUGAACAAGGUUUAUCAAGAAGUCAUCAUAUAUAUAUUUGUUU
rnacentral:lncRNA from 1 species